rnacentral:lncRNA from 1 species
CACCAGCCUCAGAAGCAGGCCAUGCCCAGCCAGCAGCCAGCCUGCCUGUCCUCUUCAGCCAUGCAUCAAAUAUUUAGUGGGUGCCUGCUGUGUGUCAGGCACUGUUCCAGGCCCUGGCUGUGGGAGCCAGGCAGCAGACCCCUCCCCUGGAGGAUCUGCAACUCUGGCGGAGAUGACACGUGUCACAGCACGAUGGUCAUAUCAGUGCUGGGGAGGGACGGAAUUCCUAGGAUGCUUGCUAGAGGGUCACAGGGUUGGGGCACUCCUCAACCACGGGGCUGAGGCACUCCAAGUGCAGAGGCUUGGAAGAGCCACAGUGGAUCCAGGCCCUGAUGCCUGAGAAGGAGCCAGCUAGGCAGAGCCGGGGAGGAGCACUCCAGACAGACAGCAAUGAACCAUCCAAAAAUGAAGUGAAGAAGACAAUCUCAUUUAUAAUAUUGG